AUUGAACGCUGGCGGCAGGCUUAACACAUGCAAGUCGAGCGAUCGGCGGACGGGUGAGUAAUGUCUUGGAACCUGCCUCAUUGAGGGGGAUAACUACUGGAAACGUUAGCUAAUACCGCAUACCCUCAGUUGUGCCCAGAUGGGAUUAGCUAGUAGGUGGGGGAAUGGCUCACCUAGGCGACGAUCACUCGCUGGUCAGUGAGGAUGACCAGCAAAACUGGACCUGAGACACGAUCCAGACUCCAACGGGAGGAAGAGGUGGGGAAUAUUGCACAAUGGGCGGAAGGCUGAUGCAGCCAUGCCGAGUGUGUGAAGAAGGCAUUGGGGUUGUAAAGAACUUUAAGCGAGGAGGAGUUACUCGCAGAGGAAGCAACGGAUAACUCCGUGCCAGCAGACGCGGUAAUAC
rnacentral:rRNA from 1 species